CAUAUCAGCAACGCUUUUGCCAUUUCUCGAAAGUGAUUUGAUCAAAGUCGUGCGUCGUCAGUUUCCUCACAUCUUCCAGUUCGAAAGUUACAUUUUUUAGGACACGUUGUUUUUGACAGAAGCCCGAAUGAAGUCAAUGGUAUUCAAAUCCGGAUGGUAGGGUGAAAGGUGAAACGUUAUGUCCCUGUUCAGAACAGAACAUCAUCAAAUUUCUAUCUAAUAUGAUGCUUUUUAUUUGCCUUGAUCAACUCGUAUAAUUCGGGUUUGGGCAUGUUAUGGGUGAACAUGAUACUUUUUUCGUGCAGUCACUCCACCACGUCAGCCUUUCUAAAAUUUGUGUUGGGGGCUGGAAUAAUUUGAAUGUUGUGGUAUGGAGCAUUGUCGGUCACGGCUAACGAAUUCACAGGUCCCUAUAGAAGAGGAUGGUGAAAGCAGUCAAUACGAGUAAUCAGGAGGAAAUUUAGGAAAAACCACCGUGAAUAAUGAAAAACAUUUUACUCUUGCAUGUGAUUGUGAAAUAGCCAACCUGAUUGUUCCGAAAACUUUAACAGUCACCAUUGUAAUAUAAAAGAUAUAUGUAUAUACCGUUUUCAGUGUAAUAAAUGCUCAUUUCUGUUUCAUUUA